rnacentral:rRNA from 1 species
CAUCACUACGCUAGAUGCAUAUCAAUAAGCGGAGGAAAAGAAACUAACAAGGAUUCCCUUAGUAACGGCGAGUGAAGCGGGAAGAGCUCAAAUUUGAAAUCUUCAAGGUUCUACCUUGACGAAUUGUAGUUUAUAGAAGUGUUUUCUGUUAGUAGAGUGGCAAAAGUUCUUUGGAAUAGGACAUCAUAGAGGGUGAGAAUCCCGUAUUUGGUCAUUCUUUCUAGCUUUGUGAUACACUUUCAACGAGUCGGAUUGUUUGGGAAUGCAGUCCAAAAUGGGUGGUAAAUUUCAUCUAAAGCUAAAUAUUGGCGAGAGACCGAUAGCGAACAAGUACCGUGAGGGAAAGAUGAAAAGAACUUUGAAAAGAGAGUUAAACAGUACGUGAAAUUGUCAAAAGGGAAGCGUUUGACACCAGUGUUGUUUUCUCGAAAAUCAAUUAAAAAUGGCGGGAUUUUGUGUUGUAUUGACUUUAUCAGCUUUCUGCACUUUUUUCCUGUCUUUCUUAAUGCACUUUUCGUUUAACAAGUCAACAUCAAUUUCUUUUGUCGUAAAAGAGUCAUUGGAAGGUGGCUUUUUCUUCGGAAAAAGUGUUUAUAGCCUUUGAUCUCUGCAACCGGAGAGACUGAGGUCUGCAGCGUAGACUCUUCGGGGUUAGAUACAUUUGUGCUAAGUUAUAGCUUUUUCAUAGACAACUUGUUGACUAUAUUUAGUCUUGUAGGCUUACUCGCUUACUGCUAUUUUACCUACGCUUAGGAUGUUGACACACGCGCGUGCUCG